GGUCACAAAGCGUAGGAUGGAUAAUUGUUGCAAUUUGAUUUGGGUUAGCUGUGCCUAUAUUAUGCCUAUAUAUAUAAACUAUUUAUAUUUUGUGAUAAUACCAUCAUCAAUGGAAUUGGAAGAGAUGAGAUAGCUCGUUUACAUUAAGUCAUGGGACGUAUUGAUUUUUGUCGGAAUGUUUUGCAAUCAGUUCCUGGGAAAAGGUUCAAAUCAACAGUCAGCUCCCUUAAAUCAAAAUAUGAUGCAAUCAUUGUUGGUGCAGG